CUGGCAGGGGAAAGAUUCCUUGGAGAAACAGUUUACUAGUCUGUUGGGGGAUGGCAGCUACCAAAGAAGCUGGAGGUGGGUGAUCUGUGCUCCUGUGGACAUUUUUGGAUCAUCCUACAAGGAGCCCUCAGAAGCAGGAAGGGGAUAAGAGGUUUUCAAUACCCUUAGGUGGACUAAGGGACAAUAUUGGGAGCUCCAGCCAUUCUCUGGACCAUCUAGGACUCCUCAUCAUCCAGCCUCUCCUUGCCAAAAGACUCUAUAUAUAAGAACUGGAAGAGAUCACAAUGAUACUCCUCCACCAUCAAACCUAGAAUUCACUAUACCUCCCUGUGCAAAGAAUGCAUUCUUCGAAGCACCAGACAUACAAAGAUAAAGACAACAUAGACCCUUCUCUCAAGGAGUUUACAGUCUAAUGGAAGACAAUUGGGGGAAGAAAGCGAGACUCAGAAAGGCACAGCAACUUGCCCAUGGUACCCAAUGAGGGUCAGAGACAAGAGGAAGAAAAAGAAACAAGAAUUUAUUCAUCACCUGCUCUGUGCCAGGGAGUUGAAGUUAAGCUGUUGGACGCCGGCUACCCAAGACCAUGCCAGCCCAAUGCAAGGCAUGAAGCCAAAACAAAUUGCCUUUCCACUACCCCUUUCGGGACAAGAUCAUCCAUUGGCAAUUAUCUUUCACUUGUAAAGACGGUAGAAGACAUGCCUUCCCAAAUAUCCCAGCCGAAAGACCUCUCCAAAAAUGCCUGAUGUUUCUAAGUCAUGCCACAAACACUACUGUGGACAAGAGAGGUAAGUAGAGUGACUGGAGAGUUUGAUUUUUCAUCCUCAGACAGUGGCCGCCUUUUCUCCUCUUUUCAAAAGGUGCAGUUCCUCCAAAUGAGAAUUCUCCUUUCCAUCUCUCUUGGUCUGAGCCGCCAUGUUCAAUUGGAAACGGGGCUUUCGAGAGCCACAGAAUCCACUGGCAACUUUCAUAAUUAUUGGGAAUGUUCUCUCUAAUUAACAAGGGGUAAUUGUUUCUGUUUUGUAAAUUGAUCUGAGAUGAA
rnacentral:lncRNA from 1 species